rnacentral:rRNA from 1 species
AUUGAACGCUGGCGGACUGCUUUACACAUGCAAGUCGAGCGGCAGCGCGGGGGCAACCCUGGCGGCGAGCGGCGAACGGGUGAGUAACAUAUCGGAACGUACCCAGUCGUGGGGGAUAACUAUCCGAAAGGAUAGCUAAUACCGCAUACGUCCUGAGGGAGAAAGCGGGGGAUCGCAAGACCUCGCGCGAUUGGAGCGGCCGAUAUCGGAUUAGCUAGUUGGUGGGGUAAAGGCUCACCAAGGCGACGAUCCGUAGCGGGUCUGAGAGGAUGAUCCGCCACACUGGGACUGAGACACGGCCCAGACUCCUACGGGAGGCAGCAGUGGGGAAUUUUGGACAAUGGGCGCAAGCCUGAUCCAGCCACGCCGCGUGAGUGAAGAAGGCCUCGGUUGUAAG